ensembl:snRNA U6 U6 spliceosomal RNA
GUGUUCCCUUUGGCAACACAUACACUGGAAUGAUACAGAGGUUAGCAUGGCCCCUGUGCAAGGAUGAUAUGCAAAGUCAUGAAGCAAUCCAUAUUUUC